CACCCUUCUGCAUAACUGACUAAAGUCUAUCAGUGGUAAAGUAUAUGAUUAUAUGUGUAUGUAUUGCAUGUUAUGAAUAGGUAAUAUAAUUAUAUUGGAGGAAGGGGGCAGAGGGGUCAGGUGGUAAUUAAGGGCAACAACCCCUGAACCUCAGCUGUAAAGGGACGUUAAUUAUUAAUGCACGCAUAUUGGGGGGAUUUCCACUAGUUACAACAGGUACAAAGUAAAAGUUGGCUGUAUUGUAAAACUUAAUGGAAGAAAAUAGCUUUGUGCUCUUAAUUUAUAGUUAGGCAUAAGGUCAGCACUAGUGUGGGUAGGAUUAGGGUUACAAUCUUUAAAGAGAAAUGGUCGAAAUAGGCGGGGUCUAUGACUUUGUGGCUGUGCUAACUAUAGUGGCGACCAGUGGAUGAGAGAGCCACGGUAGCGCCUGAUUUGGCACAGACAGGACGUCGGAGUAGGCUGUAUGUGUUUGUACCCCAUUUACAGAACUGGGAGGUUGAGUGCUCCUGUCAACGAGUGAAAGCUGCGCUUGCAUCGGGCGCUGUGAAAAUGGCGGAUGACUGCGCUAGGCUCAGUACAAUAAUCGGUCAAUGUUCGCACGGCAGACUUUGCCCGGUGAGGGAGUGUUGUGUGUACGGAAAUCCAGUAACGUGGCGCGAGCAGCUGUCAAGCAAAGCUAGUAGCGGAACGGGGGCUCCUCGGGCUGUCAAGCGAGUCGACCGCUGGAGCGCGCAAGGGCUAUAGCCCAGACCCCCAUUGAUACUACUGCUGCUGCCAUGGAGAGGAAAGAGCAUCCAGUUGGAGAAGUCCUCAUCAUUCCAAUGAGAUCUUCAACAUCACUUUCGCCCCAGGAUUCAGCGCGACCCCUUCCCCUUCAGCCCUCCUCCCCUCCUCCACCCCUCUCUCUGUCCAGUCCCCAGCUCCAGACUGAGUUUCUGAGAAGAGCUCCCAGAGCUGCUUCCCUGACAACGACUCGGCUAGACACCAAAACCUUCUCCACCAACCCUCUCCCUCUGUCUCCCCUUCUCCUCCCCUCCUCCCCCUCUUUCCUCCCUCCUC